AUCUACAGCAUACUAUCCUGGAUACAACCGAUCUUGCCUGAUAUCAGAAGCUAAACAGGGUUGGGCCUCGUCAGUACUUGGAUGGGAGAAGUAGGAACAAAAGGGAUCAAUUACGACUAUGUAGGUC
rnacentral:rRNA from 1 species